rnacentral:rRNA from 1 species
UACGUAGGGACCGAGCGUUGUCCGGAAUCACUGGGCGUAAAGGGCGCGUAGGCGGCCUGGUAAGUAGGGGGUGAAAUCCUGCGGCUUAACCGCAGGGCUGCCUUCUAAACUGUCAGGCUUGAGCACGGUAGAGGCAGAUGGAAUUCCCGGUGUAGCGGUGGAAUGCGUAGAGAUCGGGAAGAACAUCAGUGGCGAAGGCGGUCUGCUGGGCCGUUGCUGACGCUGAGGCGCGACAGCGUGGGGAGCAAACAGG